rnacentral:rRNA from 1 species
AACGUAGGACACGAGCGUUAUCCGGAGUUACUGGGCGUAAAGGGCGUGCAGGCGGUUUUGUAAGUUUGAUGUGAAAGCGCCCGGCUUAACCGGGCGAGGACAUUGGAGACUGCAAGACUAGAGGCAGAUAGAGGGGUGUAGAAUUCCGGGAGUAGUGGUGAAAUGCGUAGAGAUCCGGAGGAAUACCAGAGGCGAAGGCGGCACCCUGGGUCUGACCUGACGCUGAGACGCGACAGCAUGGGGAGCGAACGGG